rnacentral:lncRNA from 1 species
AGGUGUGAGCCACCGUGCCCGGCCCAGAAUACUUUUUAAAAGAAGAGCAGGUUAGAGGAAAGAAAAACAUUAAUGCUGAAUGUGGUGAUGAAAGCAUGUUUCUAAAAUGGGAAGCCGAUGCUUAAAGAGGAAAGACUAAUCUGGGAUUUUGCCCCAUUUCUCUGGUUUUUCAUUCCUAUAUUUAAUUCUCACAAUCGUGUCGUCACAUAGUGCAAAAAACAAAAUUCUUGUCAAGUCCCCAGGAGUUUAUCCUUGGGUGAAAGUUUUAGCCUGAGUAUUGUCUUCCUCUAAAAAAGGUGGGAAAUGAGACAUUGAGGAAUUAACAUAUAAAUGUCUGCUAUGGGUUUAAGAGAACUGGCGUAUUUGGAAUGCUUCUUACACUAACACUGUCUCAUUGUAAAAUAUAAAACCCCUUACUCUAACUACAUUUUUAUUCCUCUGGUAGUGUGGUAUCCAGGCAACAUAUCACUUCUGCUAUGUAAUUCUAAGAAUUCUCAUUUCUAGAGUACCUGAGCCAAACAAAUACACUACGGAAGCUGCAGCUGUUAUCAUCACUAGCAAUUUGCUCAUCAUUAUUUACUACCUUUGAACCUAAGGUUUCCUGCCUAUGCUUUUGAAAGCAAAAAUCAGUCUCCUUUGCAUGAAAAAGAGCCUUAGAUUUUUAAACAUGUUAGUUACCAGAAUGCUAAAAUACCAGUUGACUACCCAAAUUAUUUUGGAAAUCUAUCCAUAAUGGAAGUCUACAACAAACACAUAAAACAGAUUACACUAAGAGCUGAGAAACUCAAAGGAACUGAAGAUUCUGAGAGAUAAACUGUUCAAGUCUUAGCAAUGAUACUGCACUUCUCUUUGACAGGUUCUGGGCUUAAGUUAGAGGCCCUACUGGUUCCAAACCAUAUUCCACUGACUUUGCAAGUAAAAUAAAUUUGAUUCUGAAAUAGGAAACAAAAAAAGGAGAAAUAACCAAAUAGUAGAAGAAAAACUGUUUGUAGAAGAAGAUGCAGAUGGAAUGAUGUGGAUGUUGAGUAACCAUGUCAAUAAAAUAU